rnacentral:lncRNA from 15 species
CACUGGCAACAAUGUUCAAAACACAAAUGUAAAAUUAGCCCAUUAAUGCUUUCAGUCAUUUAAGAGAUGUUUUAUACAGUAUUCAUAUACAUACAUACAUUAACCCUAGUGACUAACAAAGAAAUAAAGUAUGAUACAGAAAUGGCAGUAUCUGAAAAACUCAUAUCAAGUCAUAUCAAAUGCUUAAUACCACAAUCACCAGCCACAAGAUCAGAUGUUUCUCUUCAACCCAAAGAAGACUGGAUGUCUGCAAGUAUCUGCAGAUGAUCACCAGGGAUGCAUCCGGCUGUUGUCCCUGAUCAGAGUCCCACACCGCUUAGACUGGCUCGUUUCAACACAGAAAAACAGCAGUUUAACUUCGAGCCCCUUCUUGCCUGUGCUCUUAAUCCUCUGAGGGGUAAAACCCAGCCAUAGUGCAAAGGACACGCAUUUCCACCACCAUGAACGUUUGUGGUUGUAAACAAAAAGUAAAGGGAGUAGGCAUGUGAAUAAUUAUUUGGUAUCUAUGAAUGUCUCUAGGACGCUGCAUACCAGUUACAAGUGGCGCGUAGUCUUUUCACAAAAUGGAAUGACAUUCAUGUCUGCACGAUCAGAGUUUCAUUACGGCAAUGAGUUGUCUUUGGUCCAUCCCAUAAUCUGGCACAGUCUAUAUUAGGGCUUGCGUCCCUCAGUCCCUCAGUUUACAAACUCUCUGAAGAGUCGUGCCUACCACACCACUGCUGUCUGUAUCAGCCACAGAAUGACCUCUCCAGCUUCACAGGACUGCACUGACGGAAACAGGAUGAUCCUGAUGGAUAUAGAAGGCAGAUGUGUGAUGGUCACCGAGGACCUGAAACUGUGUGCUGUUGACCGUCAAAAAAAUGAAUCUUGGGUACAGAUAAAGGAACGCACACAUGAAGAGAACAUUUUACUGGCUAUACUCUUCUUGUAUAAUGGUCGUCAGUAUUAUGCCAAGGUGGAUGGAAACAAUGUGGUGUUGGAGAAGGCUGAUUGCUGUCAGGUCUCAGAGAGUAUCUGGUUCAUGAAGGUACAAUCGGGAUCUGGUAACCAUUACGGCCUGCGAUCCAUGGUUGGUCAGAAGAAAUACCUCUCUUAUAGCGAGAACAGGCCACGCAAUAUCCUCCUCGGUGAAAUGAAUCGUUUCUUUUCUCUUCAGCAAGCUUGAGCAUGAGUGUGUUUGUGUAAAGUGUGUUUUCCAUUAUUCUUACCAAAGUCAAUUUGUAUUCGGAUUAUUUUUCUGUUUUUUUUGGGCUUUUAUUUUUUCAGAAUGUUUGCCCACUUCAAAAUAGGAAAAAAAAUAGAGUAUUUAAAGAUAAAUUAUUUAUACCCGGGGGAAUAAGCGGUCCAGAUGUCUACAUUUGAAUGUUCUCAGGUGGCAUCUUGGCACGCCUGUCGCUACCUAUUAACAUACUGUUUAACCUUUUUCUUAAUGUUUAUUAAUGAUAUAUAUAUAUAUAUAUAUAUAUAUAUAUGAUAUAAAUGAGAUCCGGCUAAACCAAACAAAAAUGUAUACCCCAAAUAAAUGAAUAAAAAUACAGGACAGGAACAGGUAAUAAAGGCUUUCACUUCAUGUGAUGGUCAAAAGAAGAACAAAAUACACAUUAGGCACGGGACCAUUUUGUUGUAAUUCAUAAAUGACUUAUAAUUAGUACUCUAAUUUGUAAGCAUUUUUCACAGGCUUCAACAGAGAGAUCGGAAUGUGAUUAGUUUUGCAUGUAUUUAGUCAUAAAUAAAUAUUGGACACAUUUUAGACCAGAUGCUGCUGUUAGAUGAACAAGUAAGGGAUUAUCAAAGUAAUGGUGCUACAUGAAAAGUCAAGGCAUCACCCUAACUUCCCACACUAUAAUUUAAAUUUAUGUCUAAUCAUUUGAUAUAUGAGCCUGCUGGCAAAUUCUUUUAAACGUGCCUUUCAAACUCUUUGGCCUAGUUUGUACUUGUCCUCCUGAACUAUGGAAGACAUGCAACUGUUUCUGAAGUUGAGUAGUUCUCCACAUGAUGAGUAAACUGAUCUUCAAGGAUAAAAUUGGUUUCCCUUUUGGUGUGAAAAUAUUCCUAAAAUGCUUUUUUUUAAUGUGUGUAUUUAAGUGGGGAAAGGGUGUUUUAUUAUUAUUUUUUAGCAAAUAUCCUUGUAUUUCUUUUUAUUCUAUAAUUAUGCAGCUUCAUCAGUGUCAUUUCUCAUUUUCAUUCUAAUAGUGUAACUAUGUAACUAUGUAAACAUAAGCACAAGUUGUAAUAAACAGUUGUAUAUCCUGAAUUGUGUCCUAGUGCAUUAGCAAGAGUGUGCAAGAGACAUUUCUUUAAAUUGGGUUCAAAUCUUAGUCACUCUCAUUCUCUUCCCAUACACUAUUAUGUAAUAUUUUGCUGUUGAUAUGAAAGGAAAACUUAU